GGGCACUUGGUCUAGGGGUAUGAUUUUCGCUUCGCAUUGACCAACGUGCGCCUGUGAAAGGUCGGGGGUUCGAAUCCCCCAGUGUCCA